AAGGCAGCAGGCACGCAAAUUACCCACUCCCGGCACGGGGAGGUAGUGACAAAAAAUAACGAUACGGGACUCAUCCGAGGCCCCGUAAUCGGAAUGAGUACACUUUAAAUCCUUUAACAAGGAUCCAAUGGAGGGCAAGUCUGGUGCCAGCAGCCGCGGUAAUUCCAGCUCCAUUAGCGUAUAUUAAAGUUGUUGCGGUUAAAAAGCUCGUAGUUGGUUCUGUGUCCCACGCUGUCGGUUCACCGCCUGUCGGUGCAACUGGCAUGCCGUGGGAUGUCCUGUCGGUGGCGGCCAUGACCCACGGCGGGUGUAGGGCAACCGAAGCUCGUCGCUGCGCGUCAGGUCGCCGAUUCAAUCCUGCCGCGGUGCUCUUCAUUGAGUGUCGAGGUAGGCCGACACGUUUACUUUGAACAAAUUAGAGUGCUUAAAGCAGGCUAACAAUGCCUGGAUAUUUUUUGCAUGGAAUAAUGGAAUAGGACCUCGGUUCUAUUUUGUUGGUUUCCGGAACCCGAGGUAAUGAUCAAUAUGGACAGGCGGGGGCAUUCGUAUUGCGACGUUAGAGGUGAAAUUCUUGGAUCGUCGCAAGACGGACUAGAGCGAAAGCAUUUGCCAAGUAUGUCUUAGUUGAUCAAGAACGAAAGUUAGAGGUUCGAAGGCGAUCAGAUACCGCCCUAGUUCUAACCAUAAACGAUGCCAGCCAGCGAUCCGCCGAUGUUCCUCCGAUGACUCGG
rnacentral:rRNA from 1 species